UUUUCUGAAUCCUGUGUAACA
rnacentral:piRNA from 1 species